rnacentral:rRNA from 1 species
CCUACGGGAGGCAGCAGUGGGGAAUAUUGGACAAUGGGCGAAAGCCUGAUCCAGCCAUGCCGCGUGUGUGAAGAAGGCCUUCGGGUUGUAAAGCACUUUCAGUGGGGAAGAAAGCCUUGGGGCUAAUACCCUCGAGGAAGGACAUCACCCACAGAAGAAGCACCGGCUAACUCCGUGCCAGCAGCCGCGGUAAUACGGAGGGUGCGGGCGUUAAUCGGAAUUACUGGGCGUAAAGCGCGCGUAGGCGGUCUGAUAAGCCGGUUGUGAAAGCCCCGGGCUCAACCUGGGAACGGCAUCCGGAACUGUCAGGCUAGAGUGCAGGAGAGGAAGGUAGAAUUCCCGGUGUAGCGGUGAAAUGCGUAGAGAUCGGGAGGAAUACCAGUGGCGAAGGCGGCCUUCUGGACUGACACUGACGCUGAGGUGCGAAAGCGUGGGUAGCAAACAGGAUUAGAUACCCGUGUAGUC